GUGCUCACUUUGGCAGCACAUAUACUAAAAUUGGAAUGAUACAGAGAAGAUUAGCAUGGCCCCUGUGCAAGGAUGACACGUAAAUUCGUGAAGCAUGCCAUUAAAAA
ensembl:snRNA U6 U6 spliceosomal RNA